GACGGAAGGUGCAAGCGUUGCUCGGAAUUACUGGGCGUAAAGCGUGUGUAGGCGGUCCACUAAGUCGGGUGUGAAAGCCCUGGGCUCAACCCAGGAAGUGCACUCGAAACUGGCGGGCUAGAGUAUCGGAGAGGUUGGUGGAAUUCUCGGUGUGGAGGUGAAAUUCGUAGAUAUCGAGAGGAACACCGGUGGCGAAGGCGGCCAACUGGACGAAUACUGACGCUGAGACACGAAAGCGUGGGGAGCAAACAGG
rnacentral:rRNA from 1 species